CAGCAGCCGCGGGAAUACGUAGGGUGCGAGCGUUAAUCGGAAUUACUGGGCGUAAAGCGUGCGCAGGCGGUUGUGUAAGACAGGUGUGAAAUCCCCGGGCUUAACCUGGGAACUGCGCUUGUGACUGCACAGCUAGAGUAUGGCAGAGGGGGGUGGAAUUCCACGUGUAGCAGUGAAAUGCGUAGGGAUGUGGAGGAACACCGAUGGCGAAGGCAGCCCCCUGGGCCAAUACUGACGCUCAUGCACGAAAGCGUGGGGAGCAAACAGGAUUAGAUACCCCUGUAGUCCCUGUCUCUUAUAC
rnacentral:rRNA from 1 species